rnacentral:rRNA from 1 species
AUUGAACGCUGGCGGCAUGCUUUACACAUGCAAGUCGAACGGCAGCGCGGGCUUCGGCCUGGCGGCGAGUGGCGAACGGGUGAGUAAUACAUCGGAACGUGCCCAGUAGUGGGGGAUAGCUCGGCGAAAGCCGGAUUAAUACCGCAUACGACCUGAGGGUGAAAGCGGGGGAUCUUCGGACCUCGCGCUAUUGGACCGGCCGAUGGCAGAUUAGCUAGUUGGUGGGGUAAAGGCCUACCAAGGCGACGAUCUGUAGCUGGUCUGAGAGGACGACCAGCCACACUGGGACUGAGACACGGCCUAGACUCCUACGGGAGGCAGCAGUGGGGAAUUUUGGACAAUGGGCGAAAGCCUGAUCCAGCAAUGCCGCGUGUGUGAUGAAGGCCUUCGGGUUGUAAAGCACUUUUGGCGGGAAAGAAAAGGACUGUGCCAAUACCACGGUUCGAUGACGGUACCCGCAGAAUAAGCACCGGCUAACUACGUG